UACGGAGGAUGCAAGCGUUAUCCGGAAUGAUUGGGCGUAAAGCGUCCGCAGGUGGCUGUGUAAGUCUGCUGUUAAAGAGUCUAGCUCAACUAGAUAAAAGCAGUGGAAACUACACGGCUAGAGUACGUUCGGGGCAGAGGGAAUUCCUGGUGUAGCGGUGAAAUGCGUAGAGAUCAGGAAGAACACCGGUGGCGAAGGCGCUCUGCUAGGCCGUAACUGACACUGAGGGACGAAAGCGUGGGGAGCGAACAGG
rnacentral:rRNA from 1 species